GCCCGAGCCAGCAGCUCCUCCGCGGCAGCGCGACUCAGGUCCCGGUGAUACCACAAUGGAGGCGCGCCACCCAAGGGGGAGACGCCACCGCCAGCCAUCGCAGUGGCAAAAAUCAACAACUAGCUAGGUCUCCAUUCUGGCUCAGGUCACAGAAAAAGGUGCAGUGCUUUCCUGAACCUGGCGUUGUGGGAACGCGUCAUGCCGUAUAAUUUUCUCAUGAACAAAUCCUGUCAGCUUCUCAAUGAAACCCAACAGAGAGCAAGGGAGGAAGAAUGAAGAAGCAAACAUUGCUGAUCAUGGAAUAUGGAAGUGGCUUCAGCUGGAUUCUUGAACACUGUAUUUUGAACAGGGGUGGGGAGGGGGUGGUCUUUGUGCGCCUUCUGGUUUGUCUUUUACCAUGAAAAUCUUGCCAUCAGUCAAAACCCGAACCUUGUAAUUAUUCAGAGAGGGGACGGGCCUCUUUACAGCGAGGAAGCCUCAUAUAUUUAUUUUCUUGUGGUUAGGUGGUACUGUUUCUGAUCACUGAAAAAAUGGUAUUUCUUUCAGUCGCUUCUUUGUAGGUUCAGAUAAGCGUGUAUGAUGCAGCGCUGCAUUUACUAAGAAGAUUUUAUGUAACAAUUCAUGUGUGGCUGACAUGAACAUGUGUGUUUUUGUCAUCAGAAAUAAUCUCAAGUAGCCUAAGUAAGACCAAGCAGGAAGGACUGAGGCCCCUCAUAUGUUUCCAUAUCUCUGGUUAUGACAGUGAGCAUGACAUUUUCAAGACUCUGACCGCCAAGAUCAAACUUGACUGUUUCAUUAAACCACUGCUACUGUUGCCAUAAAAUUUGUCAGUAGAUGAAUGAGUGUCAUGAAACCUUUUUAGAACAACAGAAAUGCUACAGAUUUCGCUAAAGUGGCUCCCUGACCUGGUACAUACUAGUUGAAUUUCUGUUGCUUGUGGAUCACAUUCUGAAGAAAUGUCAGCCCCAGGUGCUUCAUCUAUCGGUCAGUGCGUGUGCUGAUGAUUUAUCCCUAAUGUUUGAGUGUGCAGUAUUAUAAGGUUGGCGUAAGCUGGCAACUACAACACCUUCAGAGAUGGCCCACAUUCUUUGUCAGUACUUGAGAUUAGCAAUUGAUUAAAAUAUUUUCAAGGUAACCUGGAGCUGUUCUCUAAAAUAUUACUAUUACCUUGGCUUAUAAUUUAACAAGGGAAACAAUUAUAUUUAAACAUAAACAAGAGUAAAAAUGAAAAUAGAUUGUUGAAUAGAGUAUAUAAAGAAACACCAAGUCAUUAGCCAGUACAAGGCAGAUGUAUGAAUGAUUGUUAUGUCUAGCCAACCACUAUCACAGAGUCAUCCUUGAUUAUUUUAAAAAUAUUUAAUCAUAUUGACAUUAUUUUAACUUUCUGUUCAGUUCUGGAAUUAGUAAGGGUAUAUGGCUCACAGAGAAUGAGGUCUACUUCACUUCCAUGCACUCUAAUUGAGCGAAAUAAAGGAGAAUCUUGUUCAGUGUCA